rnacentral:rRNA from 1 species
UACGUAGGGUGCAAGCGUUAAUCGGAAUUACUGGGCGUAAAGCGUGCGCAGGCGGUUAUGUAAGCCAGAUGUGAAAUCCCCGGGCUCAACCUGGGAACUGCAUUUGUGACUGCAUAGCUAGAGUACGGUAGAGGGGGAUGGAAUUCCGCGUGUAGCAGUGAAAUGCGUAGAUAUGCGGAGGAACACCGAUGGCGAAGGCAAUCCCCUGGACCUGUACUGACGCUCAUGCACGAAAGCGUGGGGAGCAAACAGG